rnacentral:rRNA from 1 species
AUUGAACGCUGGCGGCAGGCCUAACACAUGCAAGUCGAGCGGAUGAAGGGAGCUUGCUCCUGGAUUCAGCGGCGGACGGGUGAGUAAUGCCUAGGAAUCUGCCUGGUAGUGGGGGAUAACGUCCGGAAACGGGCGCUAAUACCGCAUACGUCCUGAGGGAGAAAGUGGGGGAUCUUCGGACCUCACGCUAUCAGAUGAGCCUAGGUCGGAUUAGCUAGUUGGUGGGGUAAAGGCCUACCAAGGCGACGAUCCGUAACUGGUCUGAGAGGAUGAUCAGUCACACUGGAACUGAGACACGGUCCAGACUCCUACGGGAGGCAGCAGUGGGGAAUAUUGGACAAUGGGCGAAAGCCUGAUCCAGCCAUGCCGCGUGUGUGAAGAAGGUCUUCGGAUUGUAAAGCACUUUAAGUUGGGAGGAAGGGCAGUAAGUUAAUAC